AGUAGAAGAAGGCACUAGGUGGGAGUCAAGCAGCUUCAGGAUGCCAUCACAGAUAUUGCUCAGUUCAGCCUCGAUCUUCGCACGGUAUUCCUUGAUAAGGUUCACAUGCUCUUCGUUCUUACGGGACUCCUCCUUCUGUUCAAUAGAAGAGACAAUGCGCCAUGAAGCACGGCGAGCCCCAAUCACAUUCUUGUAUGCGACCGACAAGAGGUUACGCUCCUCAACAGUGAGCUCUUCCACAUCUACAGUCUUAGCCACCUUCUCCAUAUACUCAACCAUCUCUUCAUACCUUUCGGCCUGCUCAGCCAGC
rnacentral:lncRNA from 1 species